CGGCUACCAAGUUGCAGAUGCUACCAUGAUGCCAACCUGACUUCCCUGGGCAGGUGACCUCACCAAUGUGUCCUGGAACUUCACCUCUCCAGGGCCCUACUCCACUAGGGAAAGACAGAAAGAGGGUUGUAGUGGAUGUCUGCGAUCAUGGUGUGACAUGAUUGGAUGCUGCAUGAUUUGAGGACCCUUUGUUGGAUGCCUCCUUCAAUUUUCAAAUAAACUUACGAAUAUAUGGAAAUUUCCAAGAACAUCAAGCUGGGUUAUUGCUGUGGAUUGGUGAUUCCAUGACUGCACAGUUCCUGGCAACCAUUCUUCUUUCUUGUAGAUAGAAGGGAGGCAACAGAUGUCUGAAACCAUGAUGUGACAUAACUGGAUUCUGUGUGAUCUGAGGAUUUUCCCCACACACUGGUGACUGCUGGAUGCAACUUUGAAAUUUUCAGUAAACUUAUGAACAUAUAGACGUUUCCAUGAGCAACAAACAAAGCACUGUUCUCAGCUCAUGUGUUGGUGGUGCCAGAGACUGAACUUGAGACUGCCUCUGCACUAAGUCGUAGAUGCUACCAUGAUGCCAACCAGACUUCCCUGGGAAGAUGGCCUCACCAAUGUGUCCUGGAACCCUACCUCCCCAGAACUCUACCCCACUGGGGAAAGAUAGAAACAGGCUGGGGGUAUGGAUCAACUGGUCAACACCCAUGUCCAUUGGAGAAGCAUUUACAGAAGCCAGACUUUCCACCUUCCACAACUCAAAAGAUCUUUGGUCCAUACUCCCAGAGGACUAAAGGAUAGGGAAAAUUCCAGUAGAGAGGAGAUAUGGAACUCUGGUGGUAGGAAUUAUAUGGAAUUGUACUCCUCUUAUCUCACAAUCUUGUGGAUCAUUAUUAAAUCAUCAAAAAUAAUUUUAAAAAUAAGGAAGAAAUGCGUCACUCUCUUACCACUUAGAAUUUUUAAAGAAAAGUUUUAAUGUCCAGGGGAAAAA